ACGCUCGACACCUACGGGAGCAGCAGUUGGGAAUAUUGGACAAUGGAGGAAACUCUGAUCCAGUGACGCCGCGUGAAGGGAGAAGGUCUUCGGAUUGUAAACUUAUUUUGUCAGGGAAGAAAAAAUGACUGUACCUGAAGAAAAAGCACCGGCUAACUACGUGCCAACAGCCGCCGGUAAUCUGAGCGGGCGUGGCAAGGCG
rnacentral:rRNA from 1 species